AGUGAUGAGCCUGAAGAAAGGACUAUCGUGAUAGGAUAAAACAUGUAGUAAAAUCAAAACUACCUUCAUUA
rnacentral:tRNA from 1 species